rnacentral:rRNA from 1 species
GGGGAGCCGAAGGGAAACCGAGUCUUAACUGGGCGUUAAGUUGCAGGGUAUAGACCCGAAACCCGGUGAUCUAGCCAUGGGCAGGUUGAAGGUUGGGUAACACUAACUGGAGGACCGAACCGACUAAUGUUGAAAAAUUAGCGGAUGACUUGUGGCUGGGGGUGAAAGGCCAAUCAAACCGGGAGAUAGCUGGUUCUCCCCGAAAGCUAUUUAGGUAGCGCCUCGUGAAUUCAUCUCCGGGGGUAGAGCACUGUUUCGGCAAGGGGGUCAUCCCGACUUACCAACCCGAUGCAAACUGCGAAUACCGGAGAAUGUUAUCACGGGAGACACACGGCGGGUGCUAACGUCCGUCGUGAAGAGGGAAACAACCCAGACCGCCAGCUAAGGUCCCAAAGUCAUGGUUAAGUGGGAAACGAUGUGGGAAGGCCCAGACAGCCAGGAUGUUGGCUUAGAAGCAGCCAUCAUUUAAAGAAAGCGUAAUAGCUCACUGGUCGAGUCGGCCUGCGCGGAAGAUGUAACGGGGCUAAACCAUGCACCGAAGCUGCGGCAGCGACACUAUGUGUUGUUGGGUAGGGGAGCGUUCUGUAAGCCUGUGAAGGUGUACUGUGAGGUAUGCUGGAGGUAUCAGAAGUGCGAAUGCUGACAUAAGUAACGAUAAAGCGGGUGAAAAGCCCGCUCGCCGGAAGACCAAGGGUUCCUGUCCAACGUUAAUCGGGGCAGGGUGAGUCGACCCCUAAGGCGAGGCCGAAAGGCGUAGUCGAUGGGAAACAGGUUAAUAUUCCUGUACUUGGUGUUACUGCGAAGGGGGGACGGAGAAGGCUAUGUUGGCCGGGCGACGGUUGUCCCGGUUUAAGC